rnacentral:rRNA from 1 species
CAGUCGCCGCGGGAAUACGGAGGGGGCUAGCGUUGUUCGGAAUUACUGGGCGUAAAGCGCACGUAGGCGGCUUGGUAAGUUAGAGGUGAAAGCCUGGAGCUCAACUCCAGAAUUGCCUUUAAGACUGCCGAGCUAGCAGGUGAGAGAGGUAAGUGGAAUUCCGAGUGUAGAGGUGAAAUUCGUAGAUAUUCGGAGGAACACCAGUGGCGAAGGCGGCUCACUGGUCCAUUACUGACGCUGAGGUGCGAAAGCGUGGGGAGCAAACAGGAUUAGAUACCCGAGUAGUCCCUGUCUCUUAUAU